rfam:Brachypodium distachyon strain Bd21 chromosome 2, whole genome shotgun sequence.
UUAUUACUUCCUCCGUCCCAUAAUUUUUGUCGAAAUAUUACAUGUAUCUCGACGCUUUUCAGAAAUAGAUACAUUCAUAUUUGGACAAAUUUGAGACAGAAAUUAUGGGACGGAAGAAGUACAUA